ACAAUAUGCUCAUGACUCUGUGGAGUUUCCUCUAGAAGUAACAACCUUUCAACCAUCACCAUGGGUAGCGGAAUGGGGCUCUCGGGCUUGCUGCUCCUGCUGCUGGCGGCGGUGGAGUUGUGCGGGGGCUACAAGGCGGGGGCGCCGCGCUUCGCCUGCCGGACGAUGACGCCGGGGCACGGGGCGGCCGCCCAGAGCGACCUCCCGCCGUACACCCUCUCGGCGGACCCCGUGGCCCGGCCGACGGCGGCCGCGUCCGCGUCAACCUGGUCGCCCCUCGCGGCGCCUUCUUCGUCGGCUACCUCAUCCAGGCCCGGAACCUCAAGACCGAGGACGCCGUCGGCUCCUUCGUCCGGAUCCCCCAGGACGCCGCCCUCAUCGACUGCGACAAGGGUUCAGCCAUCACUCAGCGAGACAACAAAAGGAAAAGGACCGUCGACGUGGACUGGGAAGCGCCUGACGGCUGGAACGAUGACGUACAAUUUUUGGCAACGGUCGUUUUGAAUU
rnacentral:lncRNA from 1 species